AUUUGCAAAGGCAUGAUGAUAAAAAAUCUCCAAUUGCUUGGUCAGCAAUUCUCCCUUGUCUUCGAAUGUUGGUUGCCACUAUUAACUUUUGCUGGUUUAUGAAAAUUUUGCUGAACCUAGUCUUAGCUUAGACCCGUUUUUCCCUGGCGAGUUGGCUUCAGAUGCAGAUUUGGUUGUUAAUUGCAAAUGAAAGAGGUUGGUUGAGUCUUGGGAUAUGCACCUUCUUUCUGGUGGUUCAAUGGAAUUUGCAGUUUCACCUAAUGUUCAGUGUCAUAAAUUUGGAGUAAGUAGAUUAUCGUAUUAUCUAACUUCAACCUUGUAUAAUAAUAGUAAUAGGUAUGCUUCACUUAAAUUCCAAUUUGACUGUUUAGAUGUAUUUGCUCAUUGGUAUUAGAGUAUAGUAUAGUAAAUGAGGCAGCUUUUAGUGAAAUUGCUUAUUUUUCACUAUUGAAUUACGGAAAUAGUCUUCUGCUAACCUGGUGUCCAUAUUGCAAGGAGGUAUGGACUUGGGUCAUCAGGUUCCCGUUUAUCCAUCUGUAUAUUUUAUUAGAAAAGUAAACUCUAAUAAAUAAAAACUUCAUAAACUUCUUUCGUCCUUUUUUAGGGACUAAGGAAGGUUAACUGACCUUCUCCAAAAGAGGGUGUGAGUCUGGAAGUUCAUAUCUGUAUCAAUCCAUAAGGUGUAGGAAAGCAUCAUUUAGAAUUUCAUUAGAAACCGAUUUGUCACAUAAUACAGAGAAUCAAGGCAGUUACUUCACGUAUACGUAUGCAAUAAAUAUAGUGGUACAUUCCAUGUAGUAAAGCUACAUAGAAAUCAUGUUUCCAUCUCUUGAGAAUGGGGAUGUGUUGCACAACUUAUCACUUGUAUUUAUACUAAUUAACAGAUACACAAAUGAUUUGCAUUGCCUAAGUGCUUAACACACAAUCAUUCAAAUGAAGGUGAAGAUCUAACUUUGUUUAGUGAAUGCACUUACCUUUGGAUGAUUGUUGCUGCUUAGUGUUUACAGCCA